GGUUUGAUUAUGGCUCAGAUUGAACGCUGGCGGGAUGCUUUACACAUGCAAGUCGAACGGCAGCACGGACUUCGGUCUGGUGGCGAGUGGCGAACGGGUGAGUAAUGUAUCGGAACGUGCCUAGUAGCGGGGGAUAACUACGCGAAAGCGUAGCUAAUACCGCAUACGCCCUUCGGGGGAAAGCGGGGGACCUUCGGGCCUCGCACUAUUAGAGCGGCCGAUAUCGGAUUGGCUAGUUGGUGGGGUAACGGCUCGCAAGGCGACGAUCCGUAGCUGGUUUGAGAGGACGACCAGCCACACUGGGACUGAGACACGGCCCAGACUCCCUGGGAGAGCAGCGGUGAAAUUUUGGACAAUGGGGGAAACCUGAUCCAGCCAUCCCGCGUGUGCGAUGAAGGCCUUCGGGUUGUAAAGCACUUUUGGCAGGAAAGAAGCAGCACAGGAUAAUACCCCGUGCAACUGACGGCAUCCUGCAGAAUAAGCACCGGCUAACUACGUGCCAGCAGCCGCGGUAAUACGUAGGGUGCAAGCGUUAAUCGGAAUUACUGGGCGUAAAGCGUGCGCAGGCGGUUCGGAAAGAAGAUGUGAAAUCCCAGAGCUUAACUUUGGAACUGCAUUUUUAACUACCGAGCUAGAGUGUGUCAAGAGGGGAGGUGGAAUUCCGCGUGUAGCAGUGAAAUGCGUAGAUAUGCGGAGGAACACCGAUGGCGAAGGCGGCCUCCUGGGAUAACACUGACGCUCAUGCACGAAAAGCGUGGGAGCAAACGGGAUUAGAUACCUGGUAGUCCACGCCCUAAACGAUGUCAACUAGCUGUUGGGGCCUUCGGGCCUUGGUAGCGCGGCUAACGCGUGAAGUUGACCGCCUGGGAAGUACGGUCGCAAGAUUAAAACUCAAAGAUUGACGGGGACCCGCACAAGCGGUGGAUGAUGUGGAUUAAUUCGAUACAGCACUUGAAAAACCUUACCUACCCUUGACAUGUCUGGAAUCCGAAAGAGAUUUGGGGAGUGCUCGCAAGAGAACCGGAACACAGGUGCUGCAUGGCUGUCGUCAGCUCGUGUCGUGAGAUGUUGGGUUAAGUCCACAACGAGCGCAACCCUUGUCAUUAGUUGCUACGAAG
rnacentral:misc_RNA from 1 species